AUAUCUCUCCGUACGGGAAGGAUGAGAAGCUUCGACUAAGGUUCGAUUCGAGCGCAGCGAGAAAACGUUGCCGCAGGCAACGACCCGAAGGGUGAGGAGCGGAGCGACGAAUAAUCCUUCCCCCACCACCA
rnacentral:sRNA from 5 species